rnacentral:rRNA from 1 species
CAGAACGAACGCUGGUAGCGUGGAUUAGGCAUGCAAGUCGAACGGGAUCCGGAAGGCAGCAAUGUCGGCCGGUGAGAGUGGCGGAAGGGCGAGGAACACGUGAGCAACCUGUCUUGAAGGUGGGGGAAAAACCUCGGGAAACUGAGGCUAAUACCGAAUGUGGCGCGGAAGGGCAUCCUUCCUGCGCUAAAGGGGGCGAAAGCUCCCCCUCUUCGAGGGGCUCGCGCACCAUCAGCUAGUUGGCGGGGUAACGGCCCACCAAGGCUCACGGUUAGCUGGUCUGAGAGGAUGGCCAGCCGCACUGGGACUGAGAUACUGCCCAGACUCCUACGGGAGGCUGCAGUCGAGGAUCAUUCGCAAUGGGCGAAAGCCUGACGAUGCGACGCUGCGUUGGAGGAUGAAGGCCUUCGGGUUGUAAACUCCUGUCAUGAGGGAAAAGGAGACCUUACCUAAUACGUAGGGGAUUUGAUGGUACCUCAAGAGGAAGGGACGGCUAACUCUGUGCCAGCCGCGGC